rnacentral:rRNA from 1 species
UACGGAGGGUGCGAACGUUAAUCGGAAUCACUGGGCGUAAAGCGCGCGUAGGCGGUUCGUUAAGUGGGAUGUGAAAUCCCCGGGCUUAACCUGGGAAUUGCAUUUCAAACUGGCCGACUAGAGUACGGUAGAGGGAGGUAGAAUUUCCUGUGUAGCGGUGAAAUGCGUAGAUAUAGGAAGGAAUACCAGUGGCGAAGGCGGCCUCCUGGAUGAUACUGACGCUGAGGCGCGAAAGCGUGGGGAGCAAACAGG